UGGAACUGGUGUCUUUAUAAGAAGAGGAAGAGAGACCUGAGCUAGAAUGCUCAGCCUUUGUGCCAUGUGAUCAUGUGAUGCCCUGUGCAGCCUUGCGGCUCUGCAGAGGCCCCAUCAGCAAGAAGCCUCUCACCAGAUGACUCUCCUCAACCAGCUUCUAGAACUGACUGCUUGGGAGUCCGUGGACACCUGGUUAAGGAUUCCUAUGGACAGAUCAAUUAACCCAAGGGCUCCAGGAGAUGCAGAUCAAAGACCGCCACACAAGAAAGAGGCCACACAGAUAAAGAGCCCAGGACCUGCUGUCAGACCUCCCCAGAUUCAGAUUCUUAGGCCUGCCCCUUAUAGGCUGUGUGACCUCGGACAAGUUCCUUAUUUACUCUGAGCCUGAGUGUCCUCGCUCGUAAAAUGGGUCUAACAACGACCACCUCCAAGAAAGAUCACGAUGCUGAAAUGACUCAGAACAGUGCCUGGAGUGGAAGAGCUGCUGGGAAAAUAAUAACUGCUAUUUCUACAUCAGUUAUGCCAGUUCUUUUUGACCUAAGAAACUCCAGCGCUUUUAAUACAAUCAAACUGGGUUAUUGGUGACUUACAGAGGAGACCCUAGGCAGGUAACUAUUGAACCUUG
rnacentral:lncRNA from 1 species